rnacentral:tRNA from 1 species
GCCCUCAUCGUCUAGGGGACUAGGACGUAAGCCUUUCAAGCUUAAGACCGGAGUUCGAAUCUCCGUGAGGGCACCA